UACGGGGGGGGCAAGCGUUGUUCGGAAUUACUGGGCGUAAAGCGCACGUAGGCGGCUUUCUAAGUCAGGGGUGAAAUCCUGGAGCUCAACUCCAGAACUGCCUUUGAUACUGGAGAGCUUGAGUCCGGGAGAGGUGAGUGGAACUCCGAGUGUAGAGGUGAAAUUCGUAGAUAUUCGGAAGAACACCAGUGGCGAAGGCGGCUCACUGGCCCGGUACUGACGCUGAUGUGCGAAAGCGUGGGGAGCAAACAGG
rnacentral:rRNA from 1 species